GAGUCUUGCUCUGUUGCCCAGACUGGAGUGCAGUGGUGAAAUCAUGACUCACUGCAGCCUUGACUUCCUGGACUCAAGAGAUCCUCCUGUGUCAGACUUCUGAAUAGCUGGGACUACAUGUGUGAAUCACCAUGCACUGUCUAUCUUUCUAUAGUUGUGGUGGGCCUUGAUUCUGGUUCUUCAACUUUUUGAUGUCAGUGCACCAUGAUCAGGUAUAUACCACCAAAAUCCUUCUUGGUUAAUGGAUAGAGAAAUUGUGGUACAUUUUUACAAUGGAAUAUUAUUAAAUGAUAAAAAGAAAUGAGCUAUCUAGCUAUGAAAAGACAUGAAGGAACCAAAAAUGCUUGUUGCUAAGUGAAAGAAGCCAAUCUGAAAAGACGACAUAUUUUAUCAUUCCAAAUAUAUGACAUUUCGGAAAAAGGAAAAUCUAUGGAGACGGUAAGAAGAUCAGUAGUUGCCAGGGUUCAUGGAGAGAAAGCAGUGAACAGAAGAAGCACCGGGAAUUUUUAGAUAGUAAAACUGUUCUGUAUUAUACUGUAAUGUCAGAUAUAUGUCUUUAUAAAUUUGUCAAAACUCUAUAGAAUGUUCAACACAAAGUGUGACUCCUAAUGUAAACUAUAGAUUUUUGUUAAUAGUAGAUUACUGAUAUUAGCUUGUGAGUUGUAACCACAUACCACACUAGUGCAAGAAGGUAUUAAUAGAGGCACCUGCAUGUAUGAGGGUGAGACAGCAUAUGGGCACCCUAUGUACUUCCACUCAAUUUUUCUGUAAACUUCAAACUACUCUAAAAAUAUAGUCUAUUGAUUCAACAACAACUACAAUUGAUAUUAAAGAAAAAAAGGGUAAAAGAUUUUUCCUAACCUUAAUCACAGAAAGUCUAAAGCUACCUUACUAAGGUAAAAUUGGCUUAAAGUAAUGGUGAGCAGAGCCUACGAUUUUCUCCCAAAUUCACAUCAAAAUAUUGUUUUAAAAAUUUUAUUAAAAAUCAACAAUUAAAACACUAAAAAUAAGUACUGACAUCAAUUUAUUGCAAAGUCUGUUAUUACUUUUUGUUAGGUAAAAACUCAGUGGAACUAGAAUGAGAAAAAUGCAUGCAUUUAUUAUUCCUUCCUAGAAGUGUGGAGGCAAAGGGAGGGGGCACCUAUGGAUAGAAGUAACUGAGUUAUAUUUUAAAUUAGACACCAAAUCUAAUAAUAUAAAAUAUGCUUUUAAACUAUUGCAAUUUAUAAAACUAGACAAUAAAAGGAGAAAAUGUAUACUCUGGAAAACAAAUCCUAUAAAAUUGAACUGAAAGUUUGUCAUAAUUUUUAGCAAAGCAUACGGUAAAGAAAAAUCCCACUUUCCAAAACAUGCUUGAAGCAUGCAGGGUUGUACUGUUAGAUUAUAAAUGAGGAUAUGGACGCAUUUAUCUAGACCUUAUAGUAAACUAAAUGAACAAAGAUUACCUGGACUGUUUGAUUCAUUUAUUAAAGUUUUAAAAGAAAUUUAAAACAUGAUUUAACAUAGCAAG
rnacentral:lncRNA from 10 species